rnacentral:rRNA from 1 species
UUCCAGACUCCUACGGGAGGCAGCAGUGAGGAAUAUUGGUCAAUGGGCGAGAGCCUGAACCAGCCAAGUCGCGUGAGGGAGUACUGCCCUAUGGGUUGUAAACCUCUUUUGUCGGGGAGCAAAAGCCGGACGUGUCCGUCUGUGAGAGUACCCGAAGAAAAAGCAUCGGCUAACUCCGUGCCAGCAGCCGCGGUAAUACGGAGGAUGCGAGCGUUAUCCGGAUUUAUUGGGUUUAAAGGGUGCGCAGGCGGAUUUUUAAGUCAGCGGUAAAAUCGUGGGGCUCAACCCCAUCCAGCCGUUGAAACUGGGGAUCUAGAGUGUGCGAGAGGUAUGCGGAAUGCGUGGUGUAGCGGUGAAAUGCAUAGAUAUCACGCAGAACCCCGAUUGCGAAGGCAGCAUACCGGUGCACAACUGACGCUCAGGCACGAAAGCGUGGGUAUCGAACAGGAUUAGAUACCCCAGUA